rnacentral:rRNA from 1 species
UACGUAGGGGGCAAGCGUUGUCCGGAUUUAUUGGGCGUAAAGAGCGUGUAGGCGGCCAGAUAGGUCAGCUGUGAAAACUCGAGGCUCAACCUCGAGAUGUCGGCUGAAACCAUCUGGCUAGAGUCCGGAAGAGGAGAAUGGAAUUCCCGGUGUAGCGGUGAGAUGCGCAGAUAUCGGGAAGAACACCCGUGGCGAAGGCGGUUCUCUGGGACGGUACUGACGCUGAGACGCGAAAGCGUGGGGAGCGAACAGG